rnacentral:rRNA from 1 species
AGAGUUUGAUCCUGGCUCAGAAUCAACGCUGGCGGCGCGCCUAACACAUGCAAGUCGAACGAGAAAGUGGAGCAAUCCAUGAGUAAAGUGGCGUACGGGUGAGUAACACGUGGGUGAUCUACCUCUUAGUGAGGAAUAACCCUGGGAAACCGGGGCUAAUACCGCAUAAGCCUUAGCAGGGAAAGUCGAAAGACGCUGAGAGAGGAGCCCGCGGCCGAUUAGCUAGUUGGUGAGGUAAGAGCCCACCAAGGCAGAGAUCGGUAGCCGGCCUGAGAGGGCACACGGCCACACUGGCACUGAAACACGGGCCAGACUCCUACGGGAGGCAGCAGUGGGGAAUCUUGCACAAUGGGGGAAACCCUGAUGCAGCGACGCCGCGUGAGCGAUGAAGCCCUUCGGGGUGUAAAGCUCUUUCGUCAGGGAAGAUAGUGACGGUACCUGGAGAAGCAGCUGCGGCUAACUACGUGCCAGCAGCCGCGGUAAUACGUAGGCAGCAAGCGUUGUUCGGAGUUACUGGGCGUAAAGGGUGUGUAGGCGGUUCUUUAAGUUUGGUGUGAAAUCUCCCGGCUCAACCGGGAGGGUGCGCCGAAUACUGAGGGACUAGAGUGUGGGAGAGGAAAGUGGAAUUCCUGGUGUAGCGGUGAAAUGCGUAGAUAUCAGGAGGAACACCGGUGGUGUAGACGGCUUUCUGGACCAUAACUGACGCUGAGACACGAAAGCGUGGGGUAGCAAACAAGGAUUAGAUACCCCUGUAGUCC